rnacentral:rRNA from 1 species
GGUGAGGUAAUGGCUCACCAAGGCUACGAUCCGUAACUUGGUCUGAGAGGAUGAUCAGUCACACUGGAACUUGAGACACGGUCCAGACUCCUACGGGAGGCAGCAGUGGGGAAUAUUGGACAAUGGGCGAAAGCCUUGAUCCAGCCAUGCCGCGUGUGUGAAGAAGGUCUUCGGAUUGUAAAGCACUUUAAGUUGGGAGGAAGGGUACUUACCUAAUACGUGAGUAUUUUGACGUUACCGACAGAAUAAGCACCGGCUAACUCUGUGCCAGCAGCCGCGGUAAUACAGAGGGUGCAAGCGUUAAUCGGAAUUACUGGGCGUAAAGCGCGCGUAGGUGGUUUGUUAAGUUGGAUGUGAAAGCCCCGGGCUCAACCUGGGAACUGCAUCCUAAAACUGGCAAGCUAGAGUAUGGUAGAGGGUGGUGGAAUUUCCUGUGUAGCGGUGAAAUGCGUAGAUAUAGGAAGGAACACCAGUGCGAAGGCGACCACCUGGACUGAU